AUUGAACGCUGGCGGCAGGCCUAACACAUGCAAGUCGAGCGAGAGGCGGACGGGUGCGUAAUGUAUGGGGACUGCCCGAUAGAGGGGGAUAACUACUGGAAACGGUAGCUAAUACCGCAUACUAUCGGAUAACCCAUAUGGGCGUAGCUAGUAGGUGAGGUAAUGGCUCACCUAGGCGACGAUCCCUAGCUGGUCUGAGAGGAUGAGCAGCCACCCUGGGACUUAGACACGGUCCAGACGCCUACGGAGGCAGCAGUGGGGAAUAUUGAAAAAUGGGCGCAAGCCUGAUGCAGCCAUGCCGCGUGUAUGAAGAAGGCCCUAGGGUGGUAAAGUCCUUUCAGUCGGGAGGCGUUACCGACAGAAGAAGCACCGGCUAACUCCGUGCCAGCAGCCGCGGUAAUUC
rnacentral:rRNA from 1 species